GUCCACGCAGUAAACGAUGAUUACUAGCUGUUUGCGAUAUAAUGUAAGUGGCUAAGGGAAACCGAUAAGUAAUCCACCUGGGGGAGUACGUUCGCAAGAAUGAAACUCAAAGGAAUUGACGGGGGCCCGCACAAGCGGAGGAACAUGUGGUUUAAUUCGAUGAUACGCGAGGAACCUUACCCGGGCUUGAAAUGCAGAAGACGGACUUGGAAACAGGUCUUCCAGCAAUGGCUUCUGUGUAGGUGCUGCAUGGUUGUCGU
rnacentral:rRNA from 1 species